rnacentral:rRNA from 1 species
UUAGGGCAAGUCUGGUGCCAGCAGCCGCGGUAAUUCCAGCUCCAAUAGCGUAUAUUAAAGUUGUUGCAGUUAAAAAGCUCGUAGUUGAAUUUCGGGAUUAGCAGGUCGGUCGUGCCACUGGUACGUACUGGUCUUGCUGAUUCCUCCCUCUUGACGAGCCGUAAUGCCAUUAAUUUGGUGUUGCGGGGAAUCAGGACUGUUACCUUGAAAAAAUUAGAGUGUUUAAAGCAGGCAUGCGCUUGAAUACAUUAGCAUGGAAUAAUGAAAUAGGACGUUCGAUCUUAUUUUGUUGGUUUCUAGGAUUGACGUAAUGAUUAAUAGGGAUAGUUGGGGGCAUUAGUAUUCAAUUGUCAGAGGUGAAAUUCUUGGAUUUAUUGAAGACUAACUACUGCGAAAGCAUUUGCCAAGGAUGUUUUCAUUAAUCAAGAACGAAAGUUAGGGGAUCGAAGACGAUCAGAUACCGUCGUAGUCUUAACCAUAAACUAUGCCGACUAGGGAUCGGAUGAUGUUAAUUUUUUAAUGACUCAUUCGGCGCCUUACGGGAAAC